CGAGAUUUGGGUUUUCCUGUGAAAUACGGCUUGGAGAUGAAGUUGGGAGAAGCGAUCGAGGGGUCUUUCGAAUUGAAACGCGCCAUUUCGGGUACUAUGGUGCACAUAAUGGUAUGGAGAGGGACUGAGACGAAAAUAUGUUUAUGCUGUUGAGGGCUGGAUGCUUUUUUUUGUGGUGUUAGAAGGACUUUUGCAGAAAU
rnacentral:lncRNA from 1 species